GUGGAGAAUCUUGCACAAUGGGCGCAAGCCUGAUGCAGCCAUGCCGCGUGCGGGAAGAAGGCCUUCGGGUCGUAAACCGCUUUCAGCAGGGACGAAGCGAGAGUGACGGUACCUGCAGAAGAAGGACCGGCCAACUACGUGCCAGCAGCCGCGGUAAUACGUAGGGUCCGAGCGUUGUCCGGAAUCAUUGGGCGUAAAGCGCAUGUAGGCGGCCCUUUAAGUCGGAUGUGAAAUCCCAGGGCUCAACCCUGGAACUGCAUCCGAUACUGGAGGGCUUGAGGAAGGUAGAGGAGAGUGGAAUUCCCGGUGUAGCGGUGGAAUGCGCAGAUAUCGGGAGGAACACCAGCGGCGAAGGCGGCUCUCUGGGCCUCUCCUGACGCUGAGAUGCGAAAGCGUGGGUAGCGAACAGGAUUAGAAACCCGAGUAGUCC
rnacentral:rRNA from 1 species